rnacentral:rRNA from 1 species
CUACGGGACGCAGCAGUGGGGAAUAUUGCACAAUGGAGGAAACUCUGAUGCAGCAACGCCGCGUGGAGGAUGACACUUUUCGGAGCGUAAACUCCUUUUAUAUAGGAAGAUAAUGACGGUACUAUAUGAAUAAGCACCGGCUAACUCCGUGCCAGCAGCCGCGGUAAUACGGAGGGUGCAAGCGUUACUCGGAAUCACUGGGCGUAAAGAGCGUGUAGGCGGGUUAAUAAGUCAGAAGUGAAAUCCUAUGGCUCAACCAUAGAACUGCUUUUGAAACUGUUAACCUAGAGUGUGGGAGAGGUAGAUGGAAUUUCUGGUGUAGGGGUAAAAUCCGUAGAGAUCAGAAGGAAUACCGAUUGCGAAGGCGAUCUACUGGAACAUAACUGACGCUGAGACGCGAAAGCGUGGGGAGCAAACAGGAUUAGAUACCCCCGUAGUC